rfam:Picea glauca, whole genome shotgun sequence.
AUUUAAUAAUAUAGUGGACCUAGUCCACCUUACAUUGAAUGACCUCCACUAUUAUCACUAUGGGCCCUCUGGGCCCCCCCACUACCUCUCUAGCUACCUUACAGAUGGUCCCUGUGGAUGCUGACACAAUGUGAUUUAUACCCAGUGCUCUACAUGUGAAAGUGAAUAAAUUCAACCAAGCGUGGGUAAACGACGAGAGUAACUAUGACUCUCUUAAGGUAGUCAAAUGACUAGUCAUCUAAUUAGUGAAAUUCAUGAAUGAAUUAACAAUAUUCCCACUAACCCUAGAUACUAUAUAUAGAAACCAAAGCCAACAAAUAUU